UCUUUAAUUGUUGAUGUAGUAGAUUUUUA
rnacentral:piRNA from 1 species